CCUGCACCCAGCCCUAGCCUGACCCGCCAGACAUGUGUCCCAGGCCUUCCCCUAGCCUGUAGAGCCAUGUAAGCCUGCAGGUCAAGGUCAGGUAAAAAAAAAACAGGCCGUAACGUAAAAGAUCAAGACAUUUACGAAGACUGUCUUUGAUGGGCUCAGGUCCUCCGUGCAGACCACCAACAAGCAAGAGAUUGACGAAAUACAGGUUGUGAAGACGCUGCAAGCUGAUGCCUUCAGAGAUCGCGAAGGUCCUCACCUUGUUGUAGGAGAGCUGACAACAUGUACCAGCCAGCAGCAACUCCCAUGCUAACAGGCUUCUCCCCCGCGGGUAUGUAGCACCUCUGGAGUCGCUCGAUGAAGAAGAGGAUGCUGGCGAGGCCUGUCGUGUUAGCCGGGAUGCGCCGGUACAGAGCUGUGUCCGUUGGGGUUGUGUAGGCAAGCAUCUUCUUGGCAAGGUCCUCGUAGGUGGCCGCAAACAGUUUACGGCUGUGGGAUGAGAACUUGUCUUGUGAAUGUGACGUUGGGAGGAGGGAAGCACAGGGGAAGAGGAGGACGAGGAGGAAGAGAGUUAAGAGUCACAAGAGGAGGAGGAAGGUGGAAAGAAAGAGGAAGGAGAGGAGGAGGAGGAGGAGGAGGAAGAUGGAGAAGGAAAGGAGAAAGAUAAGAAGGAAGGAAAUGCCGCAGAAGGAGAAGAGCAAUAAGAAAUUAGAAUUGACAGAGAAACCAGACAAGGGACUGCAUUUGAAGAAGCACAAGAACCAAGAAAUUACAUCAUUCAAUGAAAUGACAACAUAAUCUAAAAUAGAAAUCAAAAACGUCACAAGACAGAAUAGUGAGCUGCAUGCACUUAUCACAGAGUAUAAAGUCACUCCCUCAGAGGAAAAAGACAAGGAUGGCAUGUCUUCAUGUGAGAACUCAGAAGCUAAAUGUACAGAUACCAAGGGAAAUUGCUGGGUCAAGUGGCUACACUGACAUCUGAGGUUAGCAGGUUGGAGAGUGAGUGCAGCAGUCUUCAGGUUCAGCUAGACUGUGAGAGGGAUAAGUAUAACAAACUGCUGGGAGAAUCUCUUGCUCAUGAAAAGUUGUCUGAAGAUGUCAUAACUGAACCAAAAGGAGAAACAACAGGAUUGGGAGGAACUGAGCUUUAACAGAAGCUGCAACAACUGCAGGAGGCUCACAGGGUCCUGGAGAGCAGGUUAACUUGCAGCAUGAAGGAGGUGGCUGAGCUAAGUGACAGGAAGUAGCAGCUUGAGCAUGCUGUAGUGCAUGAGAAGACAGAGUCCAUCGGUGACUACAUCACCAUCUACCAGUUGCAGCGAGGAGUGAUGAAGUAACAAGCUCGAGAACGCGAGUUAGACCUUGCCAGCCUCCAUCAUGAAUGAGAGGAAAUGAAGCAAAACCACUCUGCAGGAUUUGAUAUCAAAGCUGGUGCAGGAAAAGGAAGCAGAUCAUGACCUUCAGCAGCUCGAGAAGAUAAGCAGCGUCCUUAAGAGUCCAGUUGCUAUCUUUAGCAGUGUUGGAACCAGUGAGUCUGAGACACCCACCAGCAGUGGAAAGGUGGCUGACGAGCGCCUCAAGCACUCUGAAAAGGUGGAGCAACAACAAGAAACAGAAAAUUGCAUCCAUCAUUCUUUGCCUGAGGAGGGAAUUGAUGCUCUGUUGACCCUUCACACUGAUGUCCCUCAUGAGGAGGCAGAAUAUGAAUCCUACAGAACUUGCCCAUAGAAAGACCAAAAC